rnacentral:rRNA from 1 species
CAGCUCGUGUUGUGAAAUGUUGGGUUAAGUCCCGCAACGAGCGCAACCCUUAUCCCCUGUUGCCAUCGGUUCGGCCGGGAACUCAGAGGAGACUGCCGGUUAUAAACCGGAGGAAGGUGGGGACGACGUCAAGUCAUCAUGGCCCUUACGACCAGGGCUACACACGUGCUACAAUGGCUUAUACAAAGAGAAGCAAAUCUGCAAAGACAAGCAAACCUCAUAAAGUAAGUCUUAGUCCGGACUGGAGUCUGCAACUCGACUCCACGAAGUCGGAAUCGCUAGUAAUCGUGGAUCAGAAUGCCACGGUGAAUACGUUCCCGGGCCUUGUACACACCGCCCGUCACACCAUGGGAGUGGGUUGCAAAAGAAGCAGGUAUCCUAACCUUGAAAAAGGAAGGCGCCUACCACUUUGUGAUUCAUGACUGGGGUGAAGUCGUAACAAGGUAACCGUAGGGGAACCUGCGGUUGGAUCACCUCCUUA